GACAGAGAUAGACCCUCCCCUCUCGGAAAAGAACAAAAACAGUGCUCUCAUCUGGAAGAAGCUCUCAUCUUCAACAGAGCAACCAUGACCCCUCCCCUUUGAUCCUCUAAAAAGAAACGCAGCAGCGGCGCAACAAAGGGCCAAAAAACGGGAUAAUCAGUCCCUUCUUCUUCUCCAUCUUCUUCACUCUCUCUAAUGGCUGUCACCGUCGACUCAGGUCAGUGACCAUCGACGACCACACUGCACCCAUGCUCUUCCUCUCUUAUUCUCACCGGUAAGUUAAGGCCAGAAUCAGGCCAGCCACCGAACCCCCAUGAUUUCCUCCUCCGGAAAGACUCCUUUUCUUGAAUAAUAUAUAUAAAAAAUAAUAACAAAAAGAGAAGAUUGGAAAAGCUGGUCUGAUUUCAAAUGCUAUGGUUCAAAAAUUUCUGGUGGAUUGAGUCAAUUUCGGACCUAAAUCGAAGUUGUGUUGUUGUUUGUGCAUUGCUGGACUCUUCUUGUCUUCGCGCGCUUCGUUUGGCUUGUAAAUAUUUCGUUUGGUUGGCUUCAAAUUAGCUGAGUUUGAUCGUCUGGAUUUCAGACCUUUAUUUGGUCUCAGUUUCCAUUGAUUUCCUGUUUUAGUUAGAAUCGAUUAGUCCAUGGAUUUGACCACUAGUUGGUCAAAUUCAACAACUGAAGGAGUCCCAAGACCAAAUCAAGCCAUUAUGAGACGUCGUGAGCUAAUGUUUGUCAAGUUUAAAGGCGUUGUGGAUGAAAUUGAAGGUUACAACUAUUAUAGCAAUUCAUCAAGUGUAGUAAACUUAAUCAGUCAGGAUUAUAUAGUUUGCUUUCUUAUUAUAGUUGUAAUCUAAUAAAAAAAAGUCAUUUAGUUGUAAUUUGAAGUUUCCCUUAUAUGUGUAGUUCAUCUUUAAUUCCUGAAUAUUUGUUUGAUAAAAUGAUUCAAAUUAGUAUGAA